AACGAACGCUGGCGGCAUGCCUAACACAUGCAAGUCGAACGAGACCUUCGGGUCUAGUGGCGCACGGGUGCGUAACGCGUGGGAACCUGCCCUUAGGUUCGGAAUAACUCCCCGACAGGGGUGCUAAUACCGGAUAAUGUCUUCGGCCCAAAGAUUUAUCGCCUUUGGAUGGGCCCGCGUUGGAUUAGCUCGUUGGUAGGGUAAAAGCCUACCAAGGCGACGAUCCAUAGCUGGUCUGAGAGGAUGAUCAGCCACACUGGGACUGAGACACGGCCCAGACUCCUACGGGAGGCAGCAGUGGGGAAUAUUGGACAAUGGGCGAAAGCCUGAUCCAGCAAUGCCGCGUGAGUGAUGAAGGCCUUAGGGUUGUAAAGCUCUUUUACCCGGGAUGAUAAUGACAGUACCGGGAGAAUAAGCUCCGGCUAACUCCGUG
rnacentral:rRNA from 1 species